ensembl:lncRNA
UUCACUCACACCAUUUUAGUUUUUUUAUGUGUAUGGUUAAAAAAAUAAGCUGAAUGUUAAGCUUUGAUGUAGAUGAAUGAAUGUCAGUGUCUGCUGGAACUUGACCAAGCAUCUGUGCACGAGUACAUAACCACUGUUAAAAACACUCUCAGUGGAGGCUUUUUAAUUUAAUUUAGUCUAAUGGACUUCAGUGCUGAAUCAAUCAGAACUUAUUCAGUUACUAUGUUAUGUAUCUGAUCGGCCAUUUUAUUGAGAUACCACAGAGACAAGAAACUCAUUCUGAUGCAUUGUGCAAUAGAAGCCAGAGACCCUUUCUUCAGUCCACACUGAAGCUUAUUGAAACUUAAGACUCCUUUUUUUUCUUGAAGAUUUUGAAAGAAUUUAACCUUUGAACUCAUUUUCCCACCUUGCCUCUGCUUGUCUGGCUUGCUGGCUGUUCGGUAUUUGCGUGGAAAGGAGGAACUGUUAAUUGUGUUUGACGUCACUUCAUGCAGUUUUAAACCUGGCAUGUGUGGGAUCACACAGUCUCCCAGCCACUUCUUCACCAAACAGAACAGAAACGGAAUCCAGAGCGGAGACACAUGGCAUGGGAGUCAGGCACAAUACCAAAUACAAUGGGUUUCUCUUAAUGCAGUACAGAGUAAGAGACCUGUGCAUUUGGUACAAACAUAAAAGAUAUCUAUGCGUUCUAUGUCUCUUCUUAAAUGGGGUAUUAUCAUAGCACUUAUUGCAAGAGUUAUGCUCCUUCUGUGAAGCCAAUAAAUCAGAUAAUGGAGUGUAUAGUUACAAAAAAAAAAAAAAAAAAAAACAACCUUCUAAUGGCAACUUUUUACUUUUUAUUUUUUUCUCUGGUCCAGAAACUUGAGUACAGAAAAAAAAGAAAAAAAAAUUCAGAAUGAAGGGAAGAACAAACUCUACAAUCAAACAAAACUCACAAUGAGGCACCUCGAUUUGAUUGGAUUUGAAAAGGAGGAUGUGUGGUGUGUUAGUGCCUCAAUGUGGGAACUGAUUGGAGGACGUUUGAUUCUCCAUCACAACUCUCUCCGUGCACCUAGUACAAUGGAAUGCAAGAAAGGACAUUAAUGACGUCAUGAUGUGCACGUUGUCGUCGUCAUUUAUCAUUUGCAUCCUUGUUGUAGUAAUUGGGUACGGAUUUUUGAAUGUCUCCCCGUUCCUUCUCUGGAUAACAUCACCCCUCUCAUGCAUCCUUACCAAGUUUGAGACUGAAUGGAAUUGCCAGUGUUGUGAAACAUGCUUUUUCACAUUCUUUUGGUCUUCAUGCAGUGGUCUUUAACUGCCUUGCAGUGCUCAUAUGCAGAUACACUUUAAAAGAGGUGCCUCUGUAUAGCUGUCUUGUGUAACGAAUGCAAACAAAGAUCAGUGAUGGGGGCCAUGUUGGUUUUUGUUGUUAACAGUGUUCUUAGGUCAUUUAGAUUAGGGCCUCUUUUGUUGAUGUGCGUGUAUGUGACCUCACCCUGGGUAUCCCACCUCUAACUCAGCUGCUAGCAUCUUCUUUCUCUUAUGUGGCCUCAGUGAAGCCAACCCUGUUAUCGAGACAAGCCACCCAUACUUGAAAAAGCCCUGUCCAAGCAGUGUUUCUAUGGACAGACUCUUUCUGCCACUGGUUCUUUAACUACAGCCCAUGGCAUGCUGUCACUAUGCAAAGUUAGAGAAGAUGGGCAAGUAAUGUCCGCCCUGUGCCAAUCUGUGGCUUUGAAAGAAAGUAGGAAAUAUCUCACAGUCCUCCCAUAAUACUUUCUUGCAUACUCAAGGUCAUUGUCAUCCUUUUAAACUUAGAAUGUUGUCUGACACUAAGCCAGUUACAUUUUUGGAGGACUGUGUGUUAAUUCUGCUGAAUUUGAUCAAUCUCAUUUCAGUAUAAUCUCAGGGCAAGACAAGAUUAACUAAAUUUAUGUUUAUUGAAAGUCGAUCAUUUUGGAGAUUUAUCAUUUGUAAGCUUUACACAUUUAAUGAUGUGUAUGAAGCUUACAAAGUGUACAUUAAAGAAACGCAAGGGGAUAUUUAUCAGUGGGGCAAUAAAUUUAGGAGGGUGGCUAGUUUGAGUCUUCUCAAUCCUUUUGAACAGGGACUGCUGCAGAGCCAUCAGUUUGUUUAUACAGUAAAUGGGACCUGUGUAUCUUACCUCUCUGCUGCUGGUUGUGCUGAAUUCCCCUUAUGGUCUCAUGUGCCAGUAUAUACAUAGAUAUAUGUACAGUACACUGUGGCAUCUCUGACUUCACAUCUUAAAUUCCAAUGCGUGUCGUUUUGUUUAUUGAGCACUUCUGUUGAGUGGCACUUUGAUGAUUGUUGUGUGUUUGAGGUGGGAUUAGGUUCAAAAUGGUUGAGGAUAUUCGUCAGAUAUUUGUCACCUCAUCCUGAUUAUUUGUGAUAAUCUUGUUACUGUCAUUGGAAGAAUCCUAUAUAACAAACAAGAACUUUAACAGCAUUGGGGUUAUGGUAUGCUAAAGGCAUACUUUUUUUGAAUACCAAAAAUGUAAUAGCAUUUUAAUUUAUAUAUAUAUAUAUAUAUAUAUAUAUAUAUAUAUAUAUAUA